rnacentral:rRNA from 1 species
UACAGAGGGGGCAAGCGUUGUUCGGAAUUACUGGGCGUAAAGGGCGCGUAGGCGGCCUGUUAAGUCGAACGUGAAAUCCCUGGGCUCAACCCAGGAACUGCGUCCGAUACUGGCAGGCUUGAAUUCGGGAGAGGGAUGCGGAAUUCCUGGUGUAGCGGUGAAAUGCGCAGAUAUCAGGAGGAACACCGGUGGCGAAGGCGGGUCUCUGGGCCGAUACUGACGCUGAGGAGCGAAAGCGUGGGGAGCGAACAGG